rnacentral:rRNA from 1 species
CCUACGGGUGGCAGCAGUGAGGAAUAUUGGUCAAUGGACGAGAGUCUGAACCAGCCCAGUAGCGUGAAGGAUGACUGCCCUAUGGGUUGUAAACUUCUUUUAUAAAGGAAUAAAACGAGGCACGUGUGCCUUUUUGCAUGUACUUUAUGAAUACGGCUCGGCUAACUCCGUGCCAGCAGCCGCGGUAAUACGGAGGAUCCGAGCGUUAUCCGGAUUUAUUGGGUUUAAAGGGAGCGUAGAUGGGUUGUUAAGUCAGUUGUGAAAGUUUGCGGCUCAACCGUAAAAUUGCAAUUGAUACUGGCAGUCUUGAGUACAGUUGAGGUAGGCGGAAUUCGUGGUGUAGCGGUGAAAUGCUUAGAUAUCACGAAGAACCCCGAUUGCGUAGGCAGCUUACUAAACUGUGACUGACAUUGAUGCUCGAAAGUGUGGGUAGCAAACAGGAUUAGAUACCCUGGUAGUC